rnacentral:rRNA from 1 species
UACAGAGGUCCCAAGCGUUGUUCGGAUUCACUGGGCGUAAAGGGUGCGUAGGCGGUCGGGUAAGUCUGAUGUGAAAUCUCACAGCUUAACUGUGAAACUGCAUUGGAUACUAUCCGGCUCGAGGAAUGGAGGGGAGACUGGAAUACUUGGUGUAGCAGUGAAAUGCGUAGAUAUCAAGUGGAACACCAGUGGCGAAGGCGACACACUGGGCCAUUACUGACGCUGAGGCGCGAAAGCGUGGGGAGCAAACAGG